rnacentral:rRNA from 1 species
AUUGAACGCUGGCGGCAGGCCUAACACAUGCAAGUCGAACGGUAACAGGAAGCAGCUUGCUGCUUCGCUGACGAGUGGCGGACGGGUGAGUAAUGUCUGGGAAGCUGCCUGAUGGAGGGGGAUAACUACUGGAAACGGUAGCUAAUACCGCAUAAUGUCGCAAGACCAAAGAGGGGGACCUUCGGGCCUCUUGCCAUCGGAUGUGCCCAGAUGGGAUUAGCUUGUUGGUGGGGUAACGGCUCACCAAGGCGACGAUCCCUAGCUGGUCUGAGAGGAUGACCAGCCACACUGGAACUGAGACACGGUCCAGACUCCUACGGAAGGCAGCAGUGGGGAAUAUUGCACAAUGGGCGCAAGCCUGAUGCAGCCAUGCCGCGUGUAUGAAGAAGGCCUUCGGGUUGUAAAGUACUUUCAGCGGGGAGGAAGGGAGUAAAGUUAAUACCUUUGCUCAUUGACGUUACCCGCAGAAGAAGCACCGGCUAACUCCGUG